GUUGGCUGCUUAAUAGAGAUGACUGCUAAAGCAGGUUUUACUGUAAAAAAUUUAUUGUAAUGCAACUUGUGUUAUAAACUCACCUUGCAGAUAGAUUUAUUUUGAACUAAUCUUUAAAAAUUUAUUGAAAUAUCAUGACUUUUUCUCCUAGAAUAACACCAAAAAGAACAGCACUAACAGUAGUUACAAAUAUAAUAUUACAAUUCUUCACACCAAAAUUCAUUAAAAGUUACCUGGCCAGGGGAUUCUUAAUUAAUCAAGUAAUAAAUUAUUUGGUUCUUUUAAUCUUCUGUAGUGUACCUGUUGCUUGUCUCACAACAGGAGAUUAUCCCAGACUGCAUGAUAAGAUCUUGUCUGCUUUAUAUUUAGAAACUCAUAACAAGAGAUCAACCAAUGAAAAUAAAGUCUGUGAACUACUUCUGGGGGCUGUAAAUGUACCUCAAAAAGUAAUCCUUAACUUUUUUCUGUUUAAUAUCAGGGUAAACUUCAAAAAUAAUGAGUAUGUAAAUGGAAUAAAAUCAACCUGUGGUACAAAAAUAUUUUUAACAUCCUAGAUAUAUCCUCCAAUAGCUGAUUGUAAAUGACACAUUUGCCCAAGAAUAUCAAAAUUUCAAAUCUACACAGGAAGUUCUUUGUUUGAGAACAGGAUGGAGUUAUUUUACUGUGUUUACAUGCAGCUUGGAAGUUAACAAUAACUAAAAGAACACACCAGGAGUAUAUAAACAACAUACAUGAAUGAAUGAAUGGAGAUAAUUCAGUUUAGUGACCCAAUGUAUUGUGUUCAAAGGAGACUCCAUCCAACAAUUCAAAGACAUGUUAAUGCAGUGUGGCAACUGAUGGCAAAUGAUGGCUUUGUGGCAGUUAAUGAAAACUGCAUGGUAUUUUAAACUGAUGGUGGCCAACAGUGACGGAAAAUUUCUCAACUAAUAGUUACAUUCAGUUGAAAAUGUUGGCAUAUCUUAUACCGACUAUACUGCAUUAUGACUAACAGUGGAAAACAUUGAUAUGCUACAAUAACAGUGGAACUGAAUAGAAACUGGUGACAUUUUAGCUCCAUAUUGUUUGUACUAUUUUCUGUCACCUAGUGAAGAAAUGUCAAAAUUAAUAAGCAGUUUUGUUAUACUACAGACUAUAAUGAAAUUAUAAAUUAAGAUGUGACAUAUAUGAUGGUUUCCGAUUUUCAUUUCAGUCCAGUUCUGUCACCAACAGGUUUCCAUGGUAUUUCCGCGGAUUUCCACAGUUAUUUGCUACGGCAUGCCGUCCGAAUACUCCACGGAUUGCCAUGGAAUUUUGCUGGUUUCCACGGACAUCUGUGGUGUACCACGGAAAGCUGUGGAUUUCCAUGGAAAGCCAUGGAUUUCCACGGAACUCUGUGGCAUUCCAUUGAAAUCCAUGGAACUCCACGGAUUUUUCCCCCGUAUUUUUGUUUCAUAAAAUAAUGAUGUAAAUUGGUAGUCCGAAUACUCCAUGGAAUAUUUUCCAUGGAUUUCCAUAGAAUUCCAUGGCAAAUCUAGAGACGGG